ensembl:lncRNA
ACAGAGUCAAUGUGGAGGCUAUAUACAGGGUAUUACGGUACAGAGUCAAUGUGGAGGCUAUAUACAGGGGUACCGGUACAGAGUCAAUGUGGAGACUAUAUACAGGGUGUACCAGUACAGAGUCAAUGUGGAGGCUAUAUACAGGGGGUACCGGUACAGAGUCAAUGUGGAGGCUAUAUACAGGGGGUACCAGUACAGAGUCAAUGUGGAGGCUAUAUACAGGGGGUACCGGUACAGAGUCAAUGUGGAGGCUAUAUACAGGGUGUACCGGUACAGAGUCAAUGUGGAGGCUAUAUACAGGGUGUACCAGUACAGAGUCAAUGUGGAGGCUAUAUACAGGGGGUACCGGUACAGAGUCAAUGUGGAGGCUAUAUACAGGGGGUACCGGUACAGAGUCAAUGUGGAGGCUAUAUACAGGGGGUACCGGUACAGAGUCAAUGUGGAGGCUAUAUACAGGGUGUACCAGUACAGAGUCAAUGUGGAGGCUAUAUACAGG